AAAAUACUGCAAUCCAAUUUUUAUAACCCAUCUUGGUGAAACCAUCCUAAUUUCUCCUAGAGUAACCAAGAGGCUAGACCCAGUACCACUUAUGCCCAACCUAAACUGGCCCAGCCACCUGUUUUUAGCCAACAGGUUUAGAAGAAACCUCAAGCUGAACCUUCCAAUGGCUUAGAAAACUUGUUGAAGGCUUACAUAGCCAAAAAUGAUGCCUUAAUCCAAAGCCAAAUAGCCACAUUGAAACACUUGGAGAAC
rnacentral:lncRNA from 1 species